AUUGAACGCUGGCGGCAGGCCUAACACAUGCAAGUCGAACGAGUGGCGGACGGGUGAGUAAUGUCUGGGAAACUGCCCGAUGGAGGGGGAUAACUACUGGAAACGGUAGCUAAUCCCGCAUACCAUCAGAUGUGCCCUGAUGGGAUUAGCUAGUAAGUGGGGUAAUGGCUCACCUAGUCGACGAUCCCUAGCUGGUCUGAGAGGAGGACCAGCCACACUGGAACUGAGACACGGCCCAGACUCCGACGGGAGGCAGCAGUGGGGAAUAUUGCACAUUGGGCGCAAGCCUGAUGCAGCCAUGCCGCGUGUGUGAAGAAGGCCUUCGGGUUGUAAAGCCCUUUCAGCGAGGAGGCGUUACUCGCAGAAGAAGCACCGGCUAACUCCGUGCCAGCAGCCGCGGUAAUAC
rnacentral:rRNA from 1 species